UACGUAGGGUGCGAGCGUUGUCCGGAAUUACUGGGCGUAAAGAGCUCGUAGGUGGUUUGUCGCGUUGUUCGUGAAAACUCACAACUCAAUUGUGGGCGUGCGGGCGAUACGGGCAGACUGGAGUACUGCAGGGGAGACUGGAAUUCCUGGUGUAGCGGUGGAAUGCGCAGAUAUCAGGAGGAACACCGGUGGCGAAGGCGGCAUCCUGGACCGGUAUUGACACUGAGGCGCGAAAGCCAGGGGAGCAAACGGG
rnacentral:rRNA from 1 species